rnacentral:rRNA from 1 species
AUUGAACGCUGGCGGCAUGCUUUACACAUGCAAGUCGUGCGGCAGCGCGAGGGCAACCUUGGCGGCGAGCGGCGAACGGGUGAGGAAUACAUCGGAACGUACCCCGGAGUGGGGAGUAACCCACGCGAAAGUUAGGACUAAUACCGCAUAUGCUCUGAGGAGGAAAGACAGGGACGUUCGCAAGAGGCCUUGCGCUCUGGGAGCGGCCGAUGUCCGAUUAGCUAGUUGGUGGGGUAA